rnacentral:rRNA from 1 species
AGCGAGACCCACGCCCACAGUUGCCAGCGUACUCGUCUGGAGUGACGGGUACACUGUGGGGGACCGCCGCUGCUAAAGCGGAGGAAGGAAUGGGCAACGGUAGGUCAGUAUGCCCCCGAAUAUCCCGGGCUACACGCGAGCUACAAUGGUUGGUACAAUGGGUAUCUACCCCGAAAGGGGGAUGGGAAUCUCCUAAAACCAAUCUUAGUUCGGAUUGAGGGCUGCAACUCGCCCUCAUGAAGCUGGAAUCCGUAGUAAUCGCGUUUCAACAGAACGCGGUGAAUACGUCCCUGCUCCUU